UCUCGUUACACUUAUACGCCCCCUGACAUUCUUAAUUUAUCCUUGUUUAGGAUGCGAGAGUGAAAAUAACAAAAAUUAGAAAAAAAAUAGUUUACAUUUUAGAACGCCCCCUGCCACAUCAGCGUUCUGUUUGGUGACUAAGCAGAAUAUACAGACGGAAGGGAACAAAACGGCCAUAACAGCAAUCGAGACUGAACCUUUUUCUCUCAAUCUGUAGACUUUGCUACUACACCGUGCAUUGAACUUCAUUCAUCAUGCCGCGAAGAGAGAAAAGCCCUGGUGUGAAGAUCCUAUGGAUUUGGACCUUCGGAACCGCCGCUAUACUUAUUGCGAAUGUGAUGAGAACCAGAAUAACUGAUUUUCAAUCUGUCAUGGACGCUCAAGAACAACAACAACAGCAACAACAGCAGCAGCAGCAAAAUGAUAAUGGUAUUUCAGAGGAGAGGAUAAUUUGAUACUCAUUACUUAGUAAUGAUAUUUGUAUUCAGCAAUGAAAUUGAUAUUUUGUGAUUGUGUUUAAACUUGUUGAGGAUAAAUGGGGACGCAAGGUGUUUGAUAAAUGUCCUAGCUGAAAACUUAACUUGGAUUGGUGAAAUUCGUGUUUUGUUGCUGUUAAUUUCUUGUGUUGUUAUGGGUUUUUGUGAUUUUAAUGUAAUCAAUGGCUCAAAAGUGGGUCUUAAUGACUGGUAGUAAGAGAGGUGAUCAUGUACUAAAUAUGUAAAAGAGUUAGAAAUGUGCAAACUCAUAGUCUCAACUCUCAACUCGACUUGAUGAUGAGAAAUGGUUCAACUUUAAACUUUGCUCAAA